rnacentral:rRNA from 1 species
GCUCAGGAUGAACGCUAGCGGCAGGCUUAACACAUGCAAGUCGAGGGGUAUAGUUCUUCGGAACUAGAGACCGGCGCACGGGUGCGUAACGCGUAUGCAAUCUACCUUUUACAGGGGGAUAGCCCAGAGAAAUUUGGAUUAAUACCCCAUAGUAUAAUUGAAUGGCAUCAUUUAAUAAUUAAAGUCACAACGGUAAAAGAUGAGCAUGCGUCCCAUUAGCUAGUUGGUAAGGUAACGGCUUACCAAGGCAACGAUGGGUAGGGGUCCUGAGAGGGAGAUCCCCCACACUGGUACUGAGACACGGACCAGACUCCUACGGGAGGCAGCAGUGAGGAAUAUUGGUCAAUGGGCGCAAGCCUGAACCAGCCAUGCCGCGUGCAGGAUGACGGUCCUAUGGAUUGUAAACUGCUUUUGCACAGGAAGAAACACUGAUUCGUGAAUCAG